rnacentral:rRNA from 1 species
UACAGAGACUGCAAGCGUUAUUCGGAUUUACUGGGCGUAAAGAGCGCGCAGGCGGUCGUUCAAGUCGAGUGUGAAAGCCCCCGGCUCAACUGGGGAGGGUCACUCGAUACUGAUCGACUCGAAGGCAGGAGAGGGAAGCGGAAUUCCCGGUGUAGUGGUGAAAUGCGUAGAUAUCGGGAGGAACACCAGUGGCGAAGGCGGCUUUCUGGCCUGUUCUUGACGCUGAGGCGCGAAAGCUAGGGUAGCAAACGGG